rnacentral:rRNA from 1 species
UACGAAGGUCCCGAGCGUUGUUCGGAAUCACUGGGCGUAAAGGGAGCGUAGGCGGUUAGGUAAGUCAGAUGUGAAAUCCCGGGGCUCAACCUCGGAACUGCAUCCGAUACUGCCUGACUAGAGUAAUGGAGGGGUAACUGGAAUUCUCGGUGUAGCAGUGAAAUGCGUAGAGAUCGAGAGGAACACUCGUGGCGAAGGCGAGUUACUGGACAUUUACUGACGCUGAGGCUCGAAGGCCAGGGUAGCGAAAGGG